GUACUGCUGUAGAGUUGCAAACUGGGACGAAACAGCUGUCCAGUAC
rfam:Trichobilharzia regenti genome assembly, scaffold: TRE_scaffold0003075